rnacentral:rRNA from 1 species
CUGAAUAUACCGGUUCUCGUUAGAUUACCGAAGUCAAGCACCAUUGGGCGCGGUCAGUACUUAGGGGUCACCACCUGGGAACACCGCGUGCCGUU